AACAAGUAUUAAAGGCAACGCCUGCCCAGUGAACAAUUAAACGGCCGCGGUACCCUAACCGUGCAAAGGUAGCAUAAUCAUUUGUCUAUUAACUGUAGACCUGUAUGAAAGGCAAAAUGAGGGUUUAACUGUCUCUUAUAAUAAAUCUAUUAAACUGAUCUCCCAGUAAAAAAGCUGGGAUACCACCAUAAGACCAGAAGACCCUGUGAAGCUUUAACUAAACUAUUAAACCCAAUAAUAGCUACUUUAGGUUGGGGCGACCUUGGAAAUAAAAAGAACUUCCAAACAAAUACACUAACACAGGCCAACAUGCCAAUAAAUGACCCAGUAAAACUGAUAACUGAACAAAGUUACUCCAGGGAUAACAGCGCUAUCUUCUUCAAGAGCCCAUAUCAAAAAGAAGGUUUACGACCUCGAUGUUGGAUCAGGACAUCCUAAUGGUGCAACCGCUAUUAAGGGUUCGUUUGUUCAACGAUUAAUGUCCU
rnacentral:rRNA from 1 species